rnacentral:rRNA from 1 species
AUUGAACGCUGGCGGCAGGCCUAACACAUGCAAGUCGAACGAGUGGCGGACGGGUGAGUAAUGUCUGGGAAACUGCGCGAUGGAGGGGGAUAACUACGGGAAACGGUAGCUAAUACCACAUAACCUCGGAUGCGCCCAGAUGGGAUUCGCUAGUAGGUGGGGUAACGGCUCACCUAGGCCACGAUCCCUCGCUGGUAGGGGAGGAUGACCGGCCACACUGGAACUGAGACACGGUCCAGACUCCUACGGGAGGCAGCAGUGGGGAAUAUUGCACAAUGGGCGCAAGCCUGAUGCAGCCAUGCCGCGUGUAUGAAGAAGGCCUUCGGGUUGUAAAGUACUUUCAGCGAGGAGGCGUUACUCGCAGAAGAAGCACCGGCUAACUCCGUGCCAGCAGCCGCGGUAAUUC